CUUUAGGCAUUUGAUUUCAUAAAAUAAAAUAUUAAGUUUAGUUCUACUCACCUCUGGCAGACGCUGGACUGACUUUGCAACAGCUAACACUGAUGGCCUCCUCGGUCCCUCGGGUCCGGUCCUACACAGGUGGACUCGAAUGAGGUGCCAAACACAUUCUAACCACUCAUAAACAACUACCCAAAAACCCUUCUAAAACAUCACUUAAACAUGCAUAGA
rnacentral:lncRNA from 1 species